CCUACGGGAGGCAGCAGUGAGGAAUAUUGGUCAAUGGACGUAAGCCUGAACCAGCCAAGUCGCGUGCGGGAUGACGGUUCUCUGGAUCGUAAACCUCUUUUAUAAGGGAAUAAAGUGCGGCACGUGUCCCCUUUUGUAUGUACCUUAUUAAUAAGGAUCGGCUAACUCCGUGCCCUCAGCCGCGGUAAUACGGAGGAUCCGCGCGUUAUCCGGAUUUAUUGGGUUUAAAGGGUGCGUAGGCGGCCUUUUAAGUCAGCGGUGAAAGUCUGUGGCUCAACCAUAGAAUUGCCGUUGAUACGGGGAGGCAUGAGUAGGUUGGAGGCAGGCGGAAUGCGUGGGGGAGCGGUGAAAUGCUUAGAUAUCACGAAGAACCCCGAUUGCGAAGGCAGGCUGCCAAGCCAUGACUGACGCUGAUGCACGAAAGCGUGGGGAUCAAACAGGAUUAGAUACCCGAGUAGUC
rnacentral:rRNA from 1 species